rnacentral:ncRNA from 1 species
UUUUAGGGGGCUAUGAGGCAUAGUCUGUAUAUGGACACUUGGACUAUGUGGAGCUAGUAGUGUAACCGACCCUCUU